rnacentral:rRNA from 1 species
ACGCGUAGGAACCUUACCUGGGCUUAAAUGUAGAGUGCAUUUUUUAGAGAUAGAAAUUCCCUUCGGGGCUUUCUGCAAGGUGCUGCAUGGUUGUCGUCAGCUCGUGCCGUGAGGUGUCGGGUUAAGUCCCAUAACGAGCGCAACCCUUAUCGUUAGUUGCCAGCUGGUAAAGCAGGGGACUCUAGCGAAACUGCCACCGUAAGGUGAGAGGAAGUGGGAUGACGUCAAAUCAGCACGGCCCUUAUGUCCAGGGCUACACACGUGUUACAAUGGCCGGCACAGAGGGCAGCUACCUGGUGACAGGAUGCUAAUCUCGAAAACCGGUCUCAGUUCGGAUCGAAGUCUGCAACUCGACUUCGUGAAGCUGGAUUCGCUAGUAAUCGCGCAUCAGCCAUGGCGCGGUGAAUACGUUCCCGGGCCUU